CCAGCAAAGCAGGCUGCAGGUGGCUGCACUUCCAAUCAAACCCAGUUACCUGAUUGGGAACAGGGACCAGCUGUUCAUUAUAAGAGCAGGGCCCCCAGCAGUGUAGCCAGCAGUCUGCUGCAAACACUUGGGAGAAGAACACUAUCCAGCUAGAGCUACUGCUCAGAUCAUCUUGGUAGUAAGGCAUCGGUGAGAAAAAGGAAUUUCCAAGCAAGGAGUGAGUGGGCGUGGAGUAAGCUAAGGAAGAGGGCUGGCAGGGAACAGAGACAAAGAGAAGCCAAGCAAGCAGCUGGAAGGAGAGAGAGGAAGAUAUGCAGCCAGAUUCAGGACUAAAACUGUGGUUCCUGACUGGGAGACCUGUACCGAGCAACUGUGGGACUAAGGCUGGUUUGUAGGGUACACCUCCAAAGGUGGAAUAAGAACUUACGGUGUUAAAUAUGUGCAUUUGCAGGAUCAUUAUUAGCCUUGCUAGUAAUACUGUCACUGUUGUAAUACUGUGAUGAUGUGAUACUACAUAUUGAUCUGGUCUUGUUCUUUCAUUUUGGCCCAUUGUCCUGUGAACCAAGACCGCACAUAUGAAGUUGGAAACCCCAAAUGGCUCAUCCUGUGUUCUCAGGUACACUUUUACUUGGGGUACACCACACCAAGGUGACUGCACAAGCAGAAAGCUGUAAUUAUGUGGCUCUGAUAGACUGUAGUUCAGCUUGAUGAUAUGUAUUUGGCAUGUAAAGUGGUAAUAAAAAAUCUAACAAUACAAUAA